GAUCCUACGGGAGGCAGCAGUGGGGAAUAUUGGACAAUGGGGGGAACCCUGAUCCAGCGACGCCGCGUGAGUGAAGAAGUAUUUCGGUAUGUAAAGCUCUAUCAGCAGGGAAGAAGAUGACGGUACCUGAAUAAGAAGCCCCGGCUAACUACGUGCCAGCAGCCGCGGUAAUACGUAGGGGGCAAGCGUUAUCCGGAUUUACUGGGUGUAAAGGGAGCGUAGACGGCUGCGCAAGUCUGAAGUGAAAGCCCGGGGCUCAACCCCGGGACUGCUUUGGAAACUGUGUAGCUAGAGUGCUGGAGAGG
rnacentral:rRNA from 1 species